UCAGGGGAAAUUUUUAAGCGGCUGAUUCCACUGUAUUCCAGCAUUCCAGCAGAGAAGCUAUUUAUGGCUUUACGAGACACAGCAGACCAAAAUACCGCCUGGUUCUGGUUGGAGGAAGAGGGAGCGUGACACAUCUGACACAGUAAGCGCUAGGUGUUAAAAUGCUGCUGCGCUACAAAAAAAAAACCAGCCCCGUUUCCUGUCUGCGCCCGUCGUCCGCAUCAUUACCAGCAGCAUCUCCAACGAGGAGGGGGCGGGGCUUGAUGUGGCCCUCAAGCUGCCUUCCUGUCGUCGGGAUCCAAAGUGGUUUUCGGAUUUGACAAGCAGCAGCCGCUAGUCGGUUAGCCGAGCCGUGCUAAGCGGCCUGCUUUAAUCUGCUUCCAACAGCCAAAGGGUGGCGCCAAAGAGUAAACAAACUUGAUUUGUGUCCUUUCAUCCGUCAA